rnacentral:rRNA from 1 species
UUCGGGUUGUAACCUCUUUUAGCAGGGAAGAAGCGAAAGUGACGGUACCUGCAGAAAAAGCGCCGGCUAACUACGUGCCAGCAGCCGCGGUAAUACGUAGGGCGCAAGCGUUAUCCGGAAUUAUUGGGCGUAAAGAGCUCGUAGGCGGUUUGUCGCGUCUGCUGUNAAAUCCCGAGGCUCAACCUCGGGUCUGCAGUGGGUACGGGCAGACUAGAGUGCGGUAGGGGAGAUUGGAAUUCCUGGUGUAGCGGUGGAAUGCGCAGAUAUCAGGAGGAACACCGAUGGCGAAGGCAGAUCUCUGGGCCGUAACUGACGCUGAGGAGCGAAAGGGUGGGGAGCAAACAGGAUUAGAUACCCUGGUAGUCCAAGGGCGAA